rnacentral:rRNA from 1 species
UACGGGGGGGGCAAGCGUUGUUCGGAAUUACUGGGCGUAAAGGGCUCGUAGGCGGCCAACUAAGUCAGACGUGAAAUCCCUCGGCUUAACCGGGGAACUGCGUCUGAUACUGGAUGGCUAGAGGUUGGGAGAGGGAUGCGGAAUUCCAGGUGUAGCGGUGAAAUGCGUAGAUAUCUGGAGGAACACCGGUGGCGAAGGCGGCAUCCUGGACCAAUUCUGACGCUGAUGAGCGAAAGCCAGGGGAGCAAACAGG